rnacentral:rRNA from 1 species
AUUGAACGCUGGCGGCAGGCCUAACACAUGCAAGUCGAGCGGAGCGGCGGACGGGUGAGUAAUGCCUAGGAAUCUGCCUGGUCGUGGGGGAUAACGUCCGGAAACGGGCGCUUAUCCCGCAUCCUAUCAGAUGAGCCUAGGUCGGAUUGGCUAGUUGGUGGGGUAAAGGCCUACCAAGGCGACCAUCCGUACCUGGUCUGAGAGGAUGAUCAGUCAAACUGGAACUGAGACACGGUCAAGACUCCUACGGGGGGCAGAAGUGGGGAAUAUUGGACAAUGGGCGAAAGCCUGAUCCAGCCAUGCCGCGUGUGUGAAGAAGGUCUUCGGAUUGUAAAGCACUUUAAGUUGGGAGGCGUUACCAACAGAAUAAGCACCGGCUAACUUCGUGCCAGCAGCCGCGGUAAUUC